rnacentral:rRNA from 1 species
UACAGAGGUCUCGAGCGUUAGGCGGAAUCACUGGGCUUAAAGCGUGUGUAGGCGGAUCGUUAAGUACCUUGUGAAAUCCCACGGCUUAACCGUGGAACUGCUUGGUAUACUGGCGGUCUUGAGCCAGCUAGGGGCUACCGGAACAAAUGGUGGAGCGGUGAAAUGCGUAGAUAUCAUGAGGAAUACCAGAGGCGAAGGCGGCUACCUGGACAAUUGCUGACGCUCAGGCACGAAAGCGUGGGGAGCAAAAGGG